rnacentral:rRNA from 1 species
UACGUAGGGGCCGAGCGUUGUCCGGAGUUAUUGGGCGUAAAGCGCGCGCAGGCGGCUUGGCGCGCCCGACGUGAAAGCCCCCGGCUUAACCGGGGAGGGUCGUCGGGUACGGUCAGGCUUGAGGGCGGGAGAGGGUGGUGGAAUUCCCGGUGUAGUGGUGGAAAUGCGUAGAGAUCGGGAGGAACACCUGUGGCGAAGGCGGCCACCUGGGCCGACCCGUGACGCUGAGGCGCGAAGGCGUGGGGAGCGAACGGG